rnacentral:siRNA from 1 species
CUACUCCCCGGGACCACGUCCA